rnacentral:rRNA from 1 species
UACCUGCAGCUCGAGUGGUAACCGCUACUAUUGGGCCUAAAGCGUCCGUAGCCGGUUUGGUAAAUAUCUGGGUAAAUCGUGAGGCUUAACUUCACGAAUUUCGGAUAGACUGCCAGACUUGGGAUCGGGGGAGGUCAGAGGUACUCCAGGGGUAGCGGUGAAAUGUUGUAAUCCUCGGAGGACCACCGGUAGCGAAGGCGUCUGACUAGAACGAGUCCGACGGUGAGGGACGAAGCCCUGGGGCGCAAACCGGAUUAGAUACCCGGGUAGUCCAGGGUGUAAACGAUGUGGGCUUUGUAUUGGAGGUCCCACGUGGGCGUCCAGUGCAGAAGAGAAGUUGUUAAAGCCCACCGCCUGGGAAGUACGGUCGCAAGGCUGAAACUUAAAGGAAUUGGCGGGGGAGCACAGCAAACGGGAGGAGCGUGCGGUUUA